GCUAAGUUACAACUGGGGUUGGAUUGAAAACCUACAAGAUGGUAGCUGUCCAGGAAUAGGGUUGGAAAGCCCUGGGCUAGAGUCUUCAGAGGUGUAUGGAUUAUUUGGAGUCUGAAGCUAGGGUAUUUGGUGCUGUGCAAGUUGCUCCUGGCAUUAUACCUAAAGCGGACAUUGCCAUUGGCUGCACGGAGUGCAUUAACAGAAAUCCCAGCCUUGUUUACGAGUUCUAACACUGGAAUUGUUUGUGUGUGUCCAGUAAUGCCCCCUGGUGAUGUAUUGCAUCGUUGUUGGCGGUGCUCGUCUUCUCCAGUGCUGAAUGUCAUCCUGACCUGGCUGUGCUAUUGGAUCCACAGCUCCAGUCACUAACGGAUACGGAGCCAUGAGGAAUGCAAUGUAGAUGAGGCCAUGAAUAGAACUCUGACAUCAUCAGAUUGAGUGCAUGUCAGGAAGCACGGAGGAAUACAUUUACUAAGUGUCUUCUGCAACAGGGAUUUUUAGUAGGGGAUCACCAAAUCAAUGUGCAAUACAAUAGCUACUGAAAUAAAUAGCAUUAGCACAUAAUAAGCUCAGGUGAGGAGGGCCAGACAAACUGGUCAUAAAGUAUUUACAGUACUGUACGUGGAAAUAUUGUGGUAUUUUAAAUGCUGUAUGGUCUUGACUCUAACCACAACAUUUUCAAGAGCUUUGACUCGAUACCUCAUUGACUUGUAAUUUGAUGGCUGACGUGGUAUAAGGUUGUAAGUCAAGUGCAAUAACAUUUGUCGUCAACUGAACUCAAGCGUACCUUGUUGAGGGGAUUCGAGUUGGGCUUUUGAAUGUGAGCUGUUGAAGUCAAUUAUGUUGAGUAUGGCAAUCAGCUGGAUGUCAGAGUUUAGUAUAGCAACAAGCUUGAUUUAUCAAAUGUUAGUGAGAUAUAUUUUGGUGUAAGCGCUGGGAUAAAGGGAAGUAGUAUACAUCUCACAGGGGCUGGAUAUAUGUAUGAAAAAGCAUAUCAAAGAGAAUGGAAAACGCAUAACUGCAUACUGUGAUGAGCCUAGUUCUAAGGAGUAAUUUAAAGCAGAAAUACAAUGCUACAUUUAACUAGCAAUCUUAGCCCUGAAACCCCCAUUAAACCAUUGUCUGGUGUUGAAAGGGGAUUUUUAUCAGUCAUACAAGGAGAGGGAAUCCACCCACAUUGUUUGUGUACAGUAGUGAUGGUUAUGAAAAGUUUCUCUUCUCACUUUUCUCGUCCUCCUGGAUCCGACCCUUUGCCUGUCCUGACUCUGAGCCCGCCUGCCUGACCAUUCUGCCUGCCCCUGACCUCGAGCCUGCCUGCCGCCCUGUACCGUUUUGGGCUCUGUCCUGGUUAUGAACUCUUGCCGUUCCCCGACCUGCCUUUUGCCUACUCCUUAGACUAUAAUAAAUAUCAGAGCUUAAA
rnacentral:lncRNA from 1 species